CGCUAUCACUCCUACGGGAGGCAGCAGUGGGGAAUAUUGCACAAUGGGGGAAACCCUGAUGCAGCCAUGCCGCGUGUGUGAAGAAGGCCGUUCGGGUUGUAAAGCACUUUCAGUAGGGAGGAAGGUAGUGUAGUUAACACCUGCACUAUUUGACGUUUACCUACAGAAGAAGCACCGGCUAACUCCGUGCCAGCAGCCGCGGUAAUACGGAGGGUGCGAGCGUUAAUCGGAAUUACUGGGCGUAAAGCGCAUGCAGGCGGCCUGUUAAGUCAGAUGUGAAAGCCCGGGGCUUAACCUCGGAAUUGCAUUUGAAACUGGCAGGCUAGAGUCUUGUAGAGGGGGUAGAAUUUCAGGUGUAGCGGUGAAAUGCGUAGAGAUCUGAAGGAAUACCAGUGGCGAAGGCGGCCCCCUGGACAAAGACUGACGCUCAGAUGCGAAAGCGUGGGGAGCAAACAGGAUUAGAUACCCUGGUAG
rnacentral:rRNA from 1 species